rnacentral:sRNA from 1 species
GGGCAAGAUCCUUGAUGAAUGGUUUGGCCGGACCAUCAUCCGCUCCUGCACCAAACUUAGCUACGAGCAUGCACAGAGCAUGAUUGAAAGCUCAACUGAGAAAAUCCCUGCAAAAGAGCUGCCCCCCAUUUCCCCAGAGCAUAGCAGCGAGGAGGUACACCAGGCCGUCUUGAAUCUCCACGGAAUUGCCAAGCAGUUACGCCAGCAGCGCUUUGUGGACGGCGCACUUCGUUUGGAUCAGCUAAAGCUUGCUUUCACUCUGGACCACGAGACCGGAUUGCCUCAAGGAUGUCAUAUCUAUGAGUACCGCGAGAGCAACAAUGAAGAACAGUGAUAGCUAUGAAGAGCAUUAAACAUGUCAGACAAACUUGUGGAAGCUGAAUUCGAUUGCAAGGCUAUACUCUUGUUCACGACAUCUAGACUUUAUGAUCCAUGUACCAUAAUCAUGAUGGGAGCUACCAUCUUCUGAGUGCCCACAGACACCAGGCAAGGGGCUUACCCAGGUUAGUUCUAGUCUAAAACCAUUCAAGAAGGAUAUUCACAAUAAAAAAUAAAAAUAAAACC